AUAAUAAUUUAACAAAAAACAUCACUUGAAGAGGUGGUUAGUUAUGGUCUCGUUGGUCAGGAAGGGUUAAAUGCAGUCGAUUCAAUGUUUGUGUGAAGUAUUUAGGCAGGGGACAGGACACGUUGACGGCAGCUCCGUUGGUAGCUGGCAGCGUCAGCUGUCGAGCGAGCACGUGUAGAGGAAGAUACCGGAUCUUGCUCUGUUCCAGUCCAAGUUUUCCCAGCACAUGGUCUGGUAAUUUCUGUGUAUCAAAACAAACAAAUUUGUCAUUUUAUUUUAGAAGAUACUAAAUGACAGUAACUGAGUCAUCCUCUACUGUUUGUAUAUGUUUAACAAUAUACCAAAGGGAAAGCAACAAAAACUCUCAAAAGGUUUCAAAGCAUGACCCAACAGAUUAAAAAAAAAAAAAAGCCCUGUUUUGGAUGCCAGUAGGGUACGUUUGCAAUAGUCUCGCAUUGCAUUGGAGUAAGGGAUGGCUUUACCACACAUACAUUCUAGGAUAGGAGACAAAACAACAACUCUAGAUUAUUUGCAUUUCUUUAAACCAAGCACAAUUGUCCUUGGCAGCGCCACAGUCUGGACGCAGCGAAAUGGUCUCAGGGAGGAACUUGUUUUGGUGGAAUAUUUGCACCCCACAACAACGCCACAUAAAAUAAUAAAUGACUAACUGUUCUCACAAUACACAGUGAGCUAUUUAAAUUACCUGGAUACAUGGUUAAAUGUAAUUUGCUCUUACUAGUAUAUCACCAUGUGUACUUUGUGCAUAAUAAUCCCCGCUUAAUCUGUUUCAGUUAGAUAGUAUAUGCCGUAAAACAUAUUCUUUGUAAAACUUUACAAUCAUUCUUCGUAAGAACCAUGCAGACCUAACUUAUUGCACAAUCCAAAUUUUCUUAAACUUGCCAUUUUCAGCUUGUUAGCUCUAAAUUUCCCGAAGGGAUUUUGAUAACGAGAAUGGCAUCACACAGGGAGCGGAGCGGGAGUCAGGCAAUUAUCCUGGAAAUAAACUUUGGUUGAUUCAGACUAGUGAGGCCACAACAAGUGGUACAUUAAGAAUCAAAAUAUUUGCCAUGUGGGAGGGAGCUGAAAGUACAAGAUGCUGGUUUCAUUUAUAGGAUACAAAGGCCAUAUUUAUGACGCACCACACUGACUAUGUUUAGAUGCAUAUAAUAUUCCAAAAAAGGCAUUAUUCCGACUAAGCUGUGUACAUGGCUAAUGAAAGUGAAUAUUACACUAAUAAUCCCGUUUACAUCCAGUCGUGCAAAAGACUUUUUUUCAGUUUUCCACCCGUGGCAGACUUGUUUGACCAUGUGCACACACCAUCCCUCUCUCAUUCUUUUACCCACUUUCUUAAAGAAGUUGCCGUUGCGAUGUUUGUUCAUUUCCAAACACUUGUUGAUAUCCAAGUCUCUCAUAAUGUUUAAAAGUAGGAGUGUUUCUCCUUUUUGUUUGGGCAUGCAUCUCUACUACAACUUUGAGAACUGUUGGCUUAUGGUUUGUGUACAAAAACCAUAGCAACUUACAGAGCCGACCAUAAGCCAAAAACAGACAAGAGGCCGCACGCUGAGGUAAAAACCCAGAUUAGGCGCAUAUUCUGAAUGCGCUGUAUGUGAUCUACAUGUCCAAAGAAUACUGGCAUGUCCCACGUCUUAAUUGGAAAAUGCUAUAUU